rnacentral:rRNA from 1 species
AAACCGCUUAGGGGUUAAGCCCGAUGAACCUGAAUAUCUGAAUUGAGAAAUUCAAUAUUGUGUUGACUCUCGAACGCCAUGCCGGUGCCUUGUGUGUCGGCGUGUGUUUGAAUUAGUUCGACAACCGGUAUGCACUUUUCUCAUAGUAAGACAUUGCGAUCCAUUAGUAUUUGCUUGUUUUUCACAACAAGCAUUAAAUUUAUCAAACGGCCCGUGUGUAUUGUUUGUUCUAGCUGUGGCAGUCCUAACCAAUUGCCAUAUGGACAAAUGCAUUGCGGUGACCUGGUAAAUAGCUGAUGGAGCUUGACAAUCAUGCAAACAUACAUGUUUUAUGUAUCACGGUCACGCAGUACAAUAUAGUGAAGACGCAGUGAUGGCAUGUAUUUGAUUAGCAAUGCGAUAGAUUUGGGAUACCUUCGGGACCCGUCUUGAAACACGGACCAAGAAGUCUAACAUGUGUGCGAGUCAUUGGGUAUAUUGAUGAAACCUAAAGGCGCAAUUAAAAUAACUAUUUUUUUAUGGGAUUACAAGCGAUACAUACACAUAUAUCGUUUCUCCAUCCCGGGGCGUUCUAUACGAACAUGAUUGCAAGCAAUUGUCGGUCCUCUGUUCAAGAGCGUACCUUGAGCAUACAUGCUGUGACCCGAAAGAUGGUGAACUAUGCCUGAUCAGGUUGAAGUCAGGGGAAACCCUGAUGGAGGACCGAAGCAGUUCUGACGUGCAAAUCGAUUGUCAGAAUUGGGUAUAGGGGCGAAAGGCCAAUCGAACCAUCUAGUAGCUGGUUCCCUCCGAAGUUUCCCUCAGGAUAGCUGGUGCAAUAAGAGAUCUAAUAUAUAAUCUUAUCUGGUAAAGCGAAUGAUUAGAGGCCUUGGGGCCGAAACGACCUCAACCUAUUCUCAAACUUUAAAUGGGUAAGAACCUCAUCUUUCUUGAUCUGAAGAUAUUGGGGUUUAGAUAUAUUGUGCCCAGUGGGCCACUUUUGGUAAGCAGAACUGGCGCUGUGGGAUGAACCAAACGUGAUGUUACGGCGCCUAAAUUAAUGACUCAUAUUGAUACCAUGAAAGGCGUUGGUUGCUUAAAACAGCAGGACGGUGGACAUGGAAGUCGUAAUCCGCUAAGGAGUGUGUAACAACUCACCUGCCGAAGCAACUAGCCCUUAAAAUGGAUGGCGCUCAAGUCAUAUGCCUAUACAUCACCGCUAGAAUAGUAGAAUUUCGCGUUUGUUCGCGAAAUUUUGUGAAAUUCUAGUGAGUAGGAGGGUACAAUGGUGUGCGCAGAAGUGUUUGGCGUGAGCCUGCAUGGAGCCGCCAUUGG